AAUUAUACAGGUACUUGUUACGCUGUAUACCUGGGGGCACCGAACGAGAGUUUAAGCGUCAUGUAAUGGCGCCGGUCCCGGGGCCGCCAUCUGGCGGUUUUUUU
rnacentral:sRNA from 1 species